UACGGGGGGAGCAAGCGUUGUUCGGAUUUACUGGGCGUAAAGGGCGCGUAGGCGGCCUGUUAAGUCGAACGUGAAAUCCCCGGGCUCAACCCGGGAACUGCGUCCGAUACUGGCAGGCUUGAAUCCGGGAGAGGGAUGCGGAAUUCCAGGUGUAGCGGUGAAAUGCGUAGAUAUCUGGAGGAACACCGGUGGCGAAGGCGGCAUCCUGGACCGGCAUUGAUGCUGAGGCGCGAAAGCCAGGGGAGCAAACGGG
rnacentral:rRNA from 1 species